UGAGCUUCGGGAAAACUUUACCAUUGUU
rnacentral:piRNA from 1 species